ACGGGUACGCAACACGUUUUUUUCCUGGGUGUGAACAACCCAACGCUUUCUGAUCACAUUAGGUGCAACAGGCUGAAGAGGUCCCAGCUCUGGAGCAGCCGCCUCCAGCCCAGCCUUUUGGCUGGGACCGUACCGGAGAGAGACAAAUCCCCACAACCUGCCCUAACCUGCAAGAGAGGAGAAGGCAAGGGAGAGUCGUCUUCUGACCCCUUUGAUGAUCAAACACUCCAAUUCUCCUUUCCUUUCUUUGACCGCUGACACAACAGCUUCACCUUGAAGAGCUGUUAGAGGAAACCUGAAACUUGGAUGCUGAGAGAAAGGCAGGGAGAAGAGAAUCCUCCAGCAGAAUGAGUUUUCUCUCUAGAUCUCCAUGUUGUCUUUGAAUUGCAAGAGCACCAUCUUGUGUUUAAAUCCAACACAGACUGCGCCCAGUCCUGGGGGUUUCCAUCCUCUCUGGAAGCACAAGGCGAUAAUAACAAGCUGCAAUCCAUGGCAAUUCUCAUCAGCAACCUGCCCACCAUCACUUUCCAGGACGUUUUGACAAGCAGGAAAACAAUUCACAUACUCGGGUUUGUUAUCUCAAAACAGCUUAAGAAGUUAACUAUAACCACGCAAAACGGCAACAAGUCCUGAAGGCCAUGCCGUGGAGUACGGUCCAAGGCCAAAAGGCCACCCUCAAAGCUUGUUUUACAGUAGAAUGUGCAUCAGAGAUCAUCAUAAAGUUAAAUAACAUUUACAGACUGUACUGCUCAAACAGCUUUCAAAUAGAUUACAGGGUGCUGAAAAAGGGGGGUGAUGGCAAAAAGAAUCCCUUAUUUUGGUUUGCUAUUCCCUUGUAGAAAAAGGGAAAUUAUCUCAAUCUCUCUCAAUAAGUUUGGGGUUUAAUUCCCAGCAAAAAAGUAUUUUCCAAUAAAGAGCAUUCACACUGAAA